rnacentral:rRNA from 1 species
UACGUAGGGAGCAAGCGUUGUCCGGAAUCAUUGGGCGUAAAGCGCGCGUAGGUGGCUUCGUAAGUCCGUUGUGAAAGUCAAAGGCUCAACCUUUGAAAGCCGAUGGAUACUGUGAAGCUAGAGUACGGAAGAGGCGAGCGGAAUUCCUGGUGUAGCGGUGGAAUGCGCAGAUAUCAGGAGGAACACCAAUUGCGAAGGCAGCUCGCUGGAACGUAACUGACGCUGAGACGCGAAAGCGUGGGGAGCAAACAGG